CCGACGGGGAAUCCUGGGUCCAACGGACUGGCAGCGCUCGCCACCGGGCUAGCGAGGUGCCUCGCCGAGGGGAGCAUGGACGACAACCUAGUCUUCUCGCCGUUGUCCAUCUACACCGCUCUGGCGCUCUUGGCCGCCGGCGCUCGGGACGCCACACUGGACGAGAUCCUCCACGUCCUCGGAGCGCGGUCGCGCGGCGAGCUUGAGAAGUUCGUGUCGCGCAUGGCGGAGGACGCGCUCCAGGACAGGUCCGCCGUGGGCGGCCCUUGCGUGGCGUUCGCGUGCGGCGUGUGGAGCGACCUAACGCGGCCGCUGAAGCCGGCUUUCCGCGAGGCCGUGGUGGGCACGUACAAAGCCGAGGCGAGCACCGUCAACUUCCGCAGCGCGCCGGAGGAAGCGUGUGUCCAGAUCAACGCAUGGGUGGCUCAAGUGACGAGGAACCUCAUCGACUCUGUCCUCCCGGUAGAGUCGAUAAAGCCAGCAACGGCUCUGGUGCUCGGCAACGCCAUAUACUUCAAGGGCAAGUGGGAGGACCAACCGUUCGACCGUAGGCACACCGUGGAUAAGCCCUUCCACCGUCUCGACGGCAGCCAGGUCGAUGUGCCCUUCAUGCAGAGCUGGAAGUCGCAGUUCGUCGCCGUGCACGACGGGUUCAAGGUACUCAAACUCCGGUACAAGAUGGCAACGCCAGAUCACAAGGAGCAACCGCAUCCUCGUCCCGAUCGUACCGGGCAUAUGCAAUUCUCGAUGUGCAUCUUUCUCCCGGACGCCCACGACGGCCUGCUGGGGCUGCUGGACACGGUAGCGUCAAGGCCUGGCUUCUUGCACGACCACCUGCCUGAGCGGCGGAUCGACCUUCGCGAGUUCAGGGUGCCAAAAUUCAAGCUGUCCUUCCACAGCAGCGUCGUCGCCGUCCUCAAGAAGCUAGGGCUGGAGCUGCCAUUCUGCUUAGAGGGCGACCUAUCUGACAUGGUGGAGGAUGACGGCUCUGGCUUGCCGAUAGUAGCGGAGGACGUCAUCCACAAGGCCGUCGUUGAGGUAAAUGAGGAAGGUACCGAAGCCGCCGCCGUCACUAUGGUCAUUGCGCCUUCUGGAUGCGCAGCUGGGGGCUCGUGGCCACCACCUCCACAGGUAGAUUUCAUCGCCGACCAUCCGUUUGCCUACUACAUAGUGGAGGAGGCGACCGGCGCAGUUGUCUUUGCUGGGCACCUCCUCGACCCC
rnacentral:rRNA from 1 species